rnacentral:tRNA from 1 species
GGAGAGAUGGUUGAGUGGUUGAUAGCUCCGGUCUUGAAAACCGAUAUACUUCCGAACAAAGAACUAUCGACGGUUUCAAUCCCUCUCUCUCCC